AGAGUUUGAUCCUGGCUCAGGAUGAACGCUGGCGGCGUGCUUAACACAUGCAAGUCGAACGAAGCACUUAAGUUUGAUUCUUCGGAUGAAGACUUUUGUGACUGAGUGGCGGACGGGUGAGUAACGCGUGGGUAACCUGCCUCAUACAGGGGGAUAACAGUUAGAAAUGACUGCUAAUACCGCAUAAGACCACAGCACCGCAUGGUGCAGGGGUAAAAACUCCGGUGGUAUGAGAUGGACCCGCGUCUGAUUAGCUGGUUGGUGGGGUAACGGCCUACCAAGGCGACGAUCAGUAGCCGACCUGAGAGGGUGACCGGCCACAUUGGGACUGAGACACGGCCCAAACUCCUACGGGAGGCAGCAGUGGGGAAUAUUGCACAAUGGGGGAAACCCUGAUGCAGCGACGCCGCGUGAAGGAUGAAGUAUUUCGGUAUGUAAACUUCUAUCAGCAGGGAAGAAAAUGACGGUACCUGACUAAGAAGCCCCGGCUAACUACGUGCCAGCAGCCGCGGUAAUACGUAGGGGGCAAGCGUUAUCCGGAUUUACUGGGUGUAAAGGGAGCGUAGACGGUAUGGCAAGUCUGAUGUGAAAGGCCAGGGCUCAACCCUGGGACUGCAUUGGAAACUGUCGAACUAGAGUGUCGGAGAGGCAAGUGGAAUUCCUAGUGUAGCGGUGAAAUGCGUAGAUAUUAGGAGGAACACCAGUGGCGAAGGCGGCUUGCUGGACGAUGACUGACGUUGAGGCUCGAAAGCGUGAGGAGCAAACAGGAUUAGAUACCCUGGUAGUCCACGCCGUAAACGAUGAUUACCAGGUGUGGGGGGAUUGACCCCUUCCGUGCCGGAGUAAACACAAUAAGUAAUCCACCUGGGGAGUACGACCGCAAGGUUGAAACUCAAAGGAAUUGACGGGGGCCCGCACAAGCAGUGGAGUAUGUGGUUUAAUUCGACGCAACGCGAAGAACCUUACCAGGUCUUGACAUCAAGUGACAGUCUAAGAGAUUAGGCCUUCCCUUCGGGGACACAAAGACAGGUGGUGCAUGGUUGUCGUCAGCUCGUGUCGUGAGAUGUUGGGUUAAGUCCCGCAACGAGCGCAACCCUUAUCAUUAGUUGCUACGCAAGAGCACUCUAAUGAGACUGCCGUUGACAAAACGGAGGAAGGUGGGGAUGACGUCAAAUCAUCAUGCCCUUUAUGACCUGGGCUACACACGUACUACAAUGGCGUUUAACAAAGAGAAGCAAAGCCGCGAGGCAGAGCAAAUCUCCAAAAAACGUCUCAGUUCGGAUUGUAGGCUGCAACUCGCCUACAUGAAGUCGGAAUUGCUAGUAAUCGUAGGUCAGCAUACUACGGUGAAUACGUUCCCGGGCCUUGUACACACCGCCCGUCAAACCAUGAGAGUUGGCAACACCCGAAGUCGGUA
rnacentral:rRNA from 1 species